CAAGAUGUUCUCACGCAGAUUUUCAGGAGCCGUGUGAAGCACCGGGCUGCUGCUGGGUUUUAUAUAUACUGGUAAUAAAGAUAACAGCAGCAGCAGCAGCUCACGGUGCAGGCGCCACUUUCACUGAAAAAAAAAUCACCCUAGUUGCUUUUGAGGGGGACUUUUAAUUUCCCUGGAAAAUGUACAAUACACAUGUGGGGAUGGAUCUUCAGUCUGGUUCCAUUAUUUUCUAAUCGUCUGGCAACACAUCAGCAGUGAACAGUUUAAUCUGAGGCUAGUUCUGUGAAGUUUCCCUGCUGUUUCUACAUCUAUCUGUAUAUCAGGAGUAUUUUACCUGCACUCUCAGAGAUGAAUUGCAGAAUUGCAGUGUGAAGUGCAGAUUUGGGGAUGAUGUAAUUGUGAUGUUUGUGUUCCGUCUGGUUUCCACAGCUCCCUCUGCAGUCAUCUGGCUUUAUUAGGAUGCAGCCCACAGCUCCUGCAGUGCUGCUGUGGCUCCCUCCAGCACUGGACACGGUCUUCAAACAGAGGACUUCAAAUGUCCAACUUCCACAAGUGAGAGGCAACGUGACAAAGAUCUUCUCCCCUCGACGGAGAAAGUCACAGCGGCGUCUCUAGCCCAGAGCGAUACAACCUAACGACCCAUGUGAAACCACAGAAGCACUUUGCUGAUGUUAACCAGAGGGAGGGCGAUCACACACUUCCCCUCCAGCGCUCUUAGCAGACAUUAAACGGAUAUGUCCUUGAAUGAAACGUUCACUGGUGCCCGCCGUGCACAAGUGCACACAUCAAACACCGCUGGGAGCGUUGAGCAACAAACCAGACCUGCAGCUGCACGAAAAAGGCAAAUCUUCCUCCCUGCUAAGUGGCUGUGAGAGACCUCGCCAUCGUGUGCAUUACCGGGCUCAUCUGUAGACUCCUCCACUGGUGAACGCAGCCUGUGCAGCAUCACAUCCUCCUGUCCUCAGUCCUAUUUCUGGACCAGCAUCAUCUGCAUCAUCCCAGCCAAGUGGAAGGAAAACACACCUUACGUAACGUUGGCAGACUGGGCCUCGUUCUGCAUUGUGUUUGCUCAAUUCCGCCCGAGCGAGCCCCUCUGCUCACUAAACUGUGUUGAUAUUAUGUAACCAGCAGCCGGGGAGGCUCUGAAAACUGCCUCCGACUGACAAUGGAGGCUGAAAUCAAGGACAGAGGGAUAGGAUGGAGAUAAGGUCACACGGUGUUUUGUGGCUGCGUGGUAGCGUUUCCUGGCAAACGUCUAAACAACAACACUCGUGAUCCCAAUUUCCCCUCGUUAUUCUGCACCUAUUUAACUUUAAACUGUUGUUCCUGCAGCAUGUCCACGGCCGAGCCCCCAGGUCAGACCUCAGCAGUGCUGUGAUGAGAUUAGUGGCGAGCCAGGGCUGCACAGUCACUCUGCCACGCCGCUGCCAUUAACCCACUGCAUGAGCACACAACCGACCACAGGGAGGGAGAGAGAGAACAGGUUCUACCCACCGCCGUCGCCAGCAUCAACAUCAACAUCAACAUGUGGCGAGAGGAUUGUUUGCUGAACUUAAAGACUCCCCUCACUGCUGCCAGCUUCUGGUGAUCUCACAGGUUAAUGAAUGGGAGGGAAUGUCUUUAUAAAACAUGCAGGAAGUAAUGAGGAAGUGCUUCCAGGUGUAGAGAGGAAUCAAUAGCACAGACUAAUUUCCAUCAAAACCAGUGAGACUAGAUAUGUCUCUGCACAUAGUGUGUAUUCUAGUAUUUAAAUACGAGAGCACUGAGGCUAUAAUGAAGUCAGGGGACAGAGGUGUAAGAGAUUCACUGGAUCCAGGUGACAUCACACAUUUUAGUCUUUUUGAGGCUUUUCCUGGCAAAUAUGUAAAUAUCAAUAAAUCCCACAACAACACAUUUGGUCGUAAUUUCACCUUUAAAGGACACAAAGGCUUCGACUUUAUGUCCCAUCAAAGUUUUAUUCAAUGGAUACAUUCAAAUCUAGUUAAAUAAUAAUAUUAAUAAUGAACUUUAUUUAUAUAACAGCUUAGAGAUGAUUUACUAGUUGAAAAUGAAACAGACGUAAAAAAUAAUAACCCCCUAAAUUCAAAGUGGGAUUGUUUCAUGUGUGCAUCUGAUCAAUCACGAUAUAAUUGAGUUUCGCAGCAGAAUCCAUAAUCGAUACGUGCACAUGCAAAGCCACUCACCGUGCGCGUGAAGAGCUUCGUGCACAACGAUCCGCCUCAGGUCUCAGGAGGGAAACUUCCCUCGGUGCACGAGCGACUCAUCGACACCGGGGACCCGCUGUCAGCACCGGAGGCACCGGGCGCAUCUUCGACGGAUCAACGUGACACCGACCGAGGAACCGACCGAGGAACCGGCGGAGGGAGAGCAAGCUGCACGUGAAGUGCGGCCGCCAGCAGCAGCAGCGAACCGGCCGCCGGACCGGAUCACAUCCGCGCCGUGUGGAGCUCCCUCCACCUGUCAAGGUAAAGUAGAGCCGGAGAGACACUUCCGGUGAGCUGUGUCACAAUCAAAGCCUCGGGAAUCCAAUGAGGUGAAAUGGCUGAGUGAUUAACGUUGAUUCCCCCCCCCCCAUAUAUGAUUUUACUCUAUAUUAAUACAAUUAUUUCACCUGUGUGGGUCACAACCACCUAUAGUUAAAGGCUCAGUGUGUAGAAUUUAGUGACAUCUAGUGGUGAAGUGUCAUCAAAUCAAAUCAAAUAAACUUUAUUGUCCCCAUGGGUAGAUUGUUCUCGGGCCAAAAUGCAACAGCAGCUGCAGAACAGUACAUUGUGCAACAAAUAAACUGUGCACAAGGACAAAAACUAAUACUAAUAAUAAUAAUAAUAAUAAUAAUAAUAAUAAUAAACCUUAUUUGGUGUGAAAUUAAAAAGAAAUGCAGCUCAAAGUGCUUUACAUACACUUUAUGUUAUUCACUCCAUAUUUGUGCUUUUACAUCUUGACAUCACAAGACAAAAGCCAGACUUUUAUUUUGAAGAACAAGUGAUCUGGGAUCUGCUCUCGUCCCUGUUGGCUUGACUCAGCUGAUUGGUCAGUCUGUGUGUGUAGAGAAAAAUGACAGAAGUCGCUUGUCAUUGGCUCCCAGCGUCACGUGACAACAAACAACAAACAACGUGAGGUGCAGGCAUCACCUCAUGUUCCAUUAAGGAUGAGAUGACCUUUGUCAAUAACAGAUUAUAACUCUGAUUGAAAACCAAACAAGGUUCUUUGUGCUCAGAGUUUCUAUUUUCUGCUUCAUCCACUUUCCCAUCAGGCUUUAAAUCUCUAACAAAACCUUGUUUGUAUUUAAGUGCUGCACCAACAGGAAACUACUGAGAAUAAACUCAAGUAAUCACUUUGCAUUUUGAAGCUGGCAACUUUCUAUAAGAUAUACAUUUACCAUAUAGCCCACAUGGUAAUUAAAGAACGACUGAUGUGUCAGUUGGCCAAUAAAAAAAUAUAUAGGUCUGUGGUUAUGUUUGCUGAGAUGAAAACUUUUAUUUUACAGAAUAAAUGUUUAUAUUAUA